UACAGUUUCAGAGGUUCAGUCAGUCCAU
rnacentral:piRNA from 1 species